AGAGGAGGCGCCAAGAGCAAGUGAGGGCUGUGAGGACUGCCAGCACGCUGUCACUAUGAUGUGUCAUGGCUAGGACUUCCCAAAGCUGCCAUGGAAGAAUAAUGGCUUCUGUCUUUUCCAUCAUCCUGGUCUACAUUUGGCCAUUCAUUGGUGGAAUCUGAUGAAAAUUCUCCUGGUAGACAGAUGGUCAUGCCCAGGAAUUCCAGCGUCGAACUGAAGACAGAGAUUAAUGGAAAAGUUGACAGCUGGGACCAAG
rnacentral:lncRNA from 1 species